GCCCCUUUAACUCAGCGGUAGAGUAA
rnacentral:tRNA from 1 species